AGAAAAGCCUGCUCAGGUAUUAACUCAUCAUAGGAGAUAAGAAACGUCCUCCACCCGAGUGUGUGCAGGUGAUCACAGAGCAGGUGUGUGAGUGUGGACUUCCCUACUGCAGUAAAACAGCUGAGUCUGUGCACUUCCUGCUGUCCACCACAAAGCGGCGCUGUGACUCCACAGUGAAGCGGAAGUGAUUACACUGAGAUGUUCUAAUCCUGAAACAGCGCGUGAACGUGCCAUAAAACACAAAACUUCAACAUGAAGUUCAGAUUUCACCUGGUUUUAAUUGUUUAUUGUUUAUUUUUGUUUGUUUGAAAUGUUCAUGAAAUUCUAAUGAGAUUCCAAAAAUUAUACAAAAAAUGAUGUGCGUCCUGAAAAGGGCA